rnacentral:rRNA from 1 species
UACGUAGGGGGCAAGCGUUGUCCGGAUUUAUUGGGCGUAAAGAGCGUGUAGGCGGCCAGGUAGGUCAGCUGUGAAACUCGAGGCUCAACCUCGAGACGCCGGUUGAAACCAUCUGGCUAGAGUCCGGAAGAGGAGAGUGGAAUUCCUGGUGUAGCGGUGAAAUGCGCAGAUAUCGGGAGGAACACCAAUGGCGAAGGCAGCUCGCUGGGACGGUACUGACGCUGAGACGCGAAAGCGUGGGGAGCAAACAGGG